rnacentral:tRNA from 1 species
GCCAGUUUGGCUCAGUGGCUAGAGCAUCAGCCUGCGGACUGAAGGGCCCCCCAGGUUCGAUUCCGGCAAAGGGCA